CUCUGCACAAAAAUUUAUGUUUUCAUUCAGGCAGAUAUUUCGCUACCCUGCCUGCAGCAUUAGGACCCUGUUAAAUAUUCUUGCCUGCACACUGCGCAAGCCUUUCCUUUCCAUUCUGAGGAUGCUGCAGUGCUUGAGAUCAUUUUUACUUGAACUGAACAAUGAUGUUUUGGGAAACCAAAUUUCAAAGAAUGUGCCGAAGCUGCAGCAAUUUCCCAAUUGGGUGGGAGGAAGAGGUGUUGCCAGGUACUAGCUGUUGUCAACCAGCCAAUAGCUGACACCCAAUGGAUUGGGUGGGAGGAGCAGGCGUGGCCAGGUAGCUGAUGUCAACAGCUUCCAACCAAUGGAUGGGGUGGGAGGAACGGAUGUUGCCACGUAGCUGAUGUCAACCAGCCAAUAGCUGACAACCAAUGGGUUGGAUUCCAGCAGGAUGGUUGAUGGCAACACUUGAUAACUAGUGGGUUAUCCGCUAAGGGUUUGAAGCCAUUAUGGACAUUGUCUCCAGCCCUUGAAGCUACAUAAGGUUGACGUGAUGCCAGAAUUAUGUGCCAAUGAUGGGCAUAUUCCUUUGAAUGCAGAGACCUGUCACUCUGACAGAGGUGCCGUGGCAGAAGAGUUGUGGUGACCGGUUUGGAGCACAAUGUUGAACUGUCAAGCUUUGUAGUAUUGUGUAUCAUAACUUGAACACUUGUUUCAGUGUCAUUGUGUAUCAUUCCCAGAACAGUUUGAGAAAGUAACUGCUUGUUUUUGUCUUCUCCGUUCUUUGUAUACUUUUUCUAAAAAUUGACUAUUAAUAAAAAUCGCUAUUACAGCU